GACGAACGCUGGUGGCGUGCUUAACACAUGCAAGUCGAACGGGAUUUAGUAAACAGAAGCCUCGGUGGAAGAUUACUAAUGAGAGUGGCGAACGGGUGAGUAACGCGUGAGCACCCUGCCUAUGACAGUGGGAUAGCCUCGGGAAACCGGGAUUAAUACCGCAUAAAAUCGUAGAAACACAUGUUUUAACGGUCAAAGAUUUAUCGGUCAUAGAUGGGCUCGCGUCUGAUUAGCUAGUUGGUGAGAUAACAGCCCACCAAGGCGACGAUCAGUAGCCGGUCUGAGAGGAUGAACGGCCACAUUGGAACUGAGACACGGUCCAAACUCCUACGGGAGGCAGCAGUGGGGAAUAUUGCACAAUGGGGGAAACCCUGAUGCAGCGACGCCGCGUGAACGAAGAAGGUAUUCGUAUCGUAAAGUUCUGUCCUAUGGGAAGAUAAUGACAGUACCAUAGAAGAAAGCUCCGGCUAAAUACGUG
rnacentral:rRNA from 1 species